CCUACGGGUGGCAGCAGUCGAGAAUCAUUCACAAUGGGGGCAACCCUGAUGCUGCGACGCCGCGUGGGGGAAUGAAGGUCUUCGGAUUGUAACCCCCUGUCAUGUGGGAGCAGAUUAAAAAGAUAGUACCACAAGAGGAAUAGACGGCAAACUCUGUGCCAGCAGCCGCGGUAAUAAGGAGGUCUCAAGCGUUGUUCGGAAUCACUGGGCGUAAAGCGUGCGGAGGCUGUUUCGUAGGUCGUGUGUGAAAGUCGCGGGCUCAACCCGCGGACCGCACAUGAUACGGGGAGAAUAGAGUCAUGGAGGGGGAACUGGAAGUCUCGGUGUAGCAGUGAAAUGUGGAGAUAUCGAGAGGAACACUCGUGGCGAAGGCGGGUCCCUGGACAUUAACUGACGCUGAGGCACGAAGGCCAGGGGAGCGAAAGGGAUUAGAUACCCGUGUAGUC
rnacentral:rRNA from 1 species